rnacentral:lncRNA from 1 species
AAAUAAAUACACUCAAAUUGAGCACAAACAACUGAUAAGUGGCCUUGACUGGACAAGUCAAACCAUUCAUGUGACCAUGCUAUGACAAUCACAUCCAGUUAAAAAAAAAAGAAAAAAAAAAGAACCUGCCUUCCUGGUCUGUUUACAAAGGGUAGACCCGGGGGAGGGGAAACAGACAUUCUUUUAAAUGUGGCCUGAAUGC